rnacentral:rRNA from 1 species
UACGGGGGGGGCAAGCGUUGUUCGGAAUUACUGGGCGUAAAGGGUUUGUAGGUGGCUUGCUAAGUCAGACGUGAAAUCCCUCAGCUUAACUGGGGAACUGCGUCUGAGACUGGUGAGCUUGAGUGCAGGAGAGGAACGCGGAAUUCCAGGUGUAGCGGUGAAAUGCGUAGAUAUCAGGAGGAACACCGGUGGCGAAGGCGGCUUUCUGGACAGAAACUGACGCUGAUGCGCGAAAGCUAGGGGAGCAAACAGG